GCGGGAGUAGCUCAGUGGUAGAGCCCCUGCCUUCCAAGCAGGUUGUCGCGGGUUCGAUCCCCGUCUCCCGCUCCA
rnacentral:tRNA from 1 species